UACGAAGGGUGCAAGCGUUACUCGGGAAUUAACUGGGCGUAAAGCGUGCGUAGGUGGUUUGUUAAGUCUGUUGGUGAAAGCCCCGGGCUCAACCUGGGAAUGGCAAUGGAUACUGGCAGGCUAGAGUGCGGUAGAGGGUAGUGGAAUUCCCGGUGUAGCGGUGAAAUGCGUAGAGAUCGGGAGGAACACCAGUGGCGAAGGCGGCUACCUGGACCAGCACUGACACUGAGGCACGAAAGCGUGGGGAGCAAACAGG
rnacentral:rRNA from 1 species